GGCCCAUUAGCUCAGUUGGUUAGAGUGUGGUGCUGUUAACAACAAGGUUGCCGGUUCGAUCCCCACAUGGGCUG